GUCUACGGCCAUACCACCCUUAACAUGCCCGAUCUUGUCUGAUCUUGGAAACUAAGCAAGGUUGGGUCUGGUUGGUACCUGAAUGGGAGACAUUUACCUCUCUUUUUUUUUUUUUUGAGACGGAGUCUCGCUCUGUUGCCC
rnacentral:rRNA from 1 species